UACGGGGGGGGCAAGCGUUGUUCGGAAUUACUGGGCGUAAAGGGCGCGUAGGCGGCCAGCACAAGUCAGUUGUGAAAUCUCCGAGCUUAACUCGGAAAGGUCAACUGAUACUGUGCGGCUAGAGUGCAGAAGGGGCAACUGGAAUUCCUGGUGUAGCGGUGAAAUGCGCAGAUAUCAGGAAGAACACCCGUGGCGAAGGCGGCUCUCUGGUACGUGACUGACGCUGAGACGCGAAAGCGUGGGGAGCGAACAGG
rnacentral:rRNA from 1 species